rnacentral:lncRNA from 1 species
CAUUACUCUUUUAAUCUUUUCCCCUUAUUUCUAAGGAUUGGAAUUAGAAUUAGGUUUCUCAAUAAGUGAAGAACAGAUCGGCCGUGAGCUUGUGGCUGCGAGUCUACCACUGCGAGUGUUGCGACUGCGAUAGAGACGGCGUCACGAUGACUUAACGACCACGGCGCCGACGACUCUCAAGUGUGACGGCUUGUUUCCUCAUUUUUAACCUUCAAUCUUCAACUUUUUAACAGGUUCACAACUUCUUCAUUCUUCAUUAUUCAAUCUUCAUUAAGUUAGUACGUUGAAUAAUUGACUCAAGGAUAAUAUAGUAAGUACAGAAGUAAUAUUUUGGUGUCUAGUCUAUAGUUAAGUCGUGGAGACUUAUUGGUAGUUGGACGCCAUUUACAAAAUACAUUUUACCACUUGGCCUGGGCGAAAUUAAGAGGGAAAGAACUAACUUAUGUGCUAUUUGCAACUUGUUAUUCAGCUUUUCAGUAGUUUGGGUGUACACAAACAGAUUUAAGGGACUGUUUUAUCGUAGCUAUUGUAGUUUCCACUAGGUCUCUUUUCCUUAGGCAUUGUGAUACUAAACCCAGUUGUUUAUUUACACUUGUUUAUUUGUAUGACAUAUGUAUUUGGUUGAAUUAUCUUUGGAUAUGGAAAAUAAUGGAAGCACUACUACCAUUGUUUGAUCACUUUAACGUAUAGUUGCAGUGGUGAGUUUAAUAUUCUAUUUGUUUGGUCAUAUACUUUUGCAGUUUUUUUCUUUUAUCAUCAAAAAAUAAUAUUCUAACUUAUGAUUUUAUCUUCUUUUUUUAGGUUCAAGUUCAAUAAUGCCAUGUGUUCCUAAAGUUGAUUCGAGAGUCGAGACUAUUUGUGUUAUUUUGAUUUUUGAGAAUUUGUUUAACUUAUUUAAGCUUAAUGUGUUAGACACUUAGACUUAUGGCGUUAUGGGCCAGUGUUCUUAUCGUUUUAUGUUGAUGUUGUUGCUGGUUGCCUGCUUAUUAGUUAAACUUAUAACUUUAUGUUUGGCAUAAUGGCAGUAACCAAUAGGUUUGAAAACUUUGCAUAAUGUUGUUGUUGCUGUGAGCGUGUAACACUUUAGUUGUUAUUACUUAUUGGUGUAAACUUAAAUUUUCCUUUUAGUCAGAAUCUUUCGUUUCAUAUUAGUAUUAAAUUUAGUCAUUAUCAUUUUAAUUUCCA